AAGGUUUUAAGUUAAAAUAAACUAAUAAUUUUCAAAAUUAUUAAUAAAGAACAAUUAUCUUUAAGCCUUA
rnacentral:tRNA from 1 species